rnacentral:rRNA from 1 species
AAGUUCAGCAUAACGUCUCGAAAGAGACGCUAAUUCUGAAUGUGAUCCCGGAUCGUGUUCCGUGAUUAAAGAAUUUCGCUUGGAGAUGGGGUUGCGUUCCAUCAGCUAGUUGGUGGGGUAAAGGCCUACCAAGGCGACGACGGAUCACCGGCCUGAGAGGGUGGCCGGUCACAGGGGCACUGAGACACGGGUCCCACUCCUACGGGAGGCAGCAGUUAGGAAUCUUCCACAAUGGGCGCAAGCCUGAUGGAGCGACGCCGCGUGAGGGAUGAAGGUUUUCGGAUCGUAAACCUCUGAAUCAGGGACGAAAGACCAGCUUGACUG